rnacentral:lncRNA from 1 species
GUCUCACUCACAAGCAUUGUGGAGUUACCAAAUAGCAUCGUCAAUCUAAAGAGCUUGGAAGUGUUGAAGAUUGACCACAGUUGCAUUCAAAAGUUACCUCAUGCCAUUGGGACGAUGGAGAAACUUGAGGAAAUUUAUGGAGCGGGUUGCGAGCAUCUGAAAGUGAUUCUUAGUGAUAUUGUGGAACUACCAUCCUUGCGGAUUUUGAAAUUAACAGAAACUCGUGUGGAGAAUGUACCCAAGCUUCCAGAGAGUUUGGUAAGUCUAUGUCUAUCCUCACAUGUUUCAAAAAAAGAUUUGGAGAUCUACAAUUUAGCGAGUCUAAAAAAUCUGAAAUUAUGUUUUCCCAUAACAUUUCAGAUGUUACCAUUUAUAAGAGUCGUGUUAGUUAUAUUCUGUCUUUUAAUUAUUCGAUGCGGGGGUAAUUAAGAAUAGAUCCAUUUUCUUUUAUUUGUUGUUGGGGACAACUUUGAAAGAAGUGCGACCAAGAGUGAUUUUCACUUAUGUUAGGAAUGCCUAUACAAAGUAUUUAUAAAGUUUACUUUUUAUGGAAGUACUUGCUCAGUCAAUAUAUUUGGGUAUGUUUUGUAAAACUAAUAUGAAUUAAACUCAUGGAUAUACAUAAUCAUUGACAGGUGGCUACAAGAUUGAAGGUUCUUGAUCUGUCGGGCUGCGAAACGUUGAAAGAAACUCAUGAGCUCUCUGCAUUUUUAUCCUUAGAAAAAUUAAUUCUAAAUGGGUGCUAUAUGCUUACGAAACUUUCCGACUCGAUCGGAAUGCUGAAAUAUUUAGCUGAGUUGGAUGUCUCACACACAAGUAUUGUGGAGUUACCAAAUAGCAUCGUCAAUCUGAAGAACUUGAAAGUGUUGAAGAUUGACUACAGCUGCAUUCAAAAGUUACCUGAUGCCAUUGGGACGAUGGAGAAACUUGAGGAAAUUUAUGGAGCGGGUUGCCAGCAGCUGAAAGUGAUUCUUAGUGAUAUUGUGGAACUACCAUCCUUGCGGAUUUUGAAAUUAACAGAAACUCGUGUGGAGAAUGUACCCAAGCUUCCAGAGAGUUUGGUAAGUCUAUAUCUAUCCUCACAUGUUUCAAAAAAAGAUUUGGAGAUCUCCAAUUUAGCGAGUCUCAAAAUUCUGAAAUUAUGUUUUCCCAUAACAUUUUAGAUGUUACCAUUUAUAAGAGUCGUGUUAGUUAUAUUCUGUCUUUUAAUUAUUGGAUGCGGGGGUAAUUUAAGAAUAGAUCCAUUUUCUUUUAUUUGUUGUUGGGGACAACUUUGAAAGAAGUGUGACGAAGAGUGAUUUUGACUUAAGUUAGGAAUGCAUAUACAAAGUAUUUAUAAAGUUACUUUUAUGGAGUACUUGCUCAGUCGAUAUAUUUGGUUAUGUUUUGUAAAACUAAUAUAAAUUAAACUCAUUAGAUAUACAUAAUCAUUUGACAGGUGGCUACAAGAUUGAAGGUUCUUGAUCUGUCGUGCUGCGAAAUGUUGAAAGAAACUCUUGAGUUCUCUGCAUUUUUAUCCUUAGAAAAAUUAAUUCUAAAUGGGUGCUAUAUGCUUACGAAACUUUCCGACUCGAUCGGAAUGCUGAAAUAUUUAGCUGAGUUGGAUGUCUCAUACACAAGCAUUAUGGAGUUACCAAAUAGCAUCGUCAAUCUAAAGAGCUUGAAAGUGUUGAAGAUUGACUACAGUUGCAUUCAAAAGUUACCUGAUGCCAUUGGGACGAUGGAGAAACUUGAGGAAAUUUAUGGAGUGGGUUGCCAGCAGCUGAAAGUGAUUCUUAGUGAUAUUGUGGACUACCAUCCUUGCGGAUUUUGAAAUUACCAAAAACUCGUGUGGAGAAUGUACCCAAGCUUCCAGAGAGUUUGGUAAGUCUAUAUCUAUCCUCACAUGUUUCAAAAAAGAUUCGGAGAUCUCCAAUUUAGCGAGUCUAAAAAUCUGAAAUUAUGUUUCCCAUAACAUUUUAGAUGNNNNNNNNNNNNNNNNNNNNNNNNNNNNNNNNNNNNNNNNNNNNNNNNNNNNNNNNNNNNNNNNNNNNNNNNNNNNNNNNNNNNNNNNNNNNNNNNNNNNGGGGUAAUUUAAGAAUAGAUCCAUUUUCUUUUAUCUGUUGUUGGGGAUAACUUUGAAAGAAGUGUGACGAAGAGUGAUUUUGACUUAAGUUAGGAAUGCAUAUACAAAGUAUUUAUAAAGUUACUUUUAUGGAGUACUUGCUCAGUCGAUAUAUUUGGUUAUGUUUUGUAAAACUAAUAUAAAUUAAACUCAUUAGAUAUACAUAAUCAUUUGACAGGUGGCUACAAGAUUGAAGGUUCUUGAUCUGUCGGGCUGCGAAACGUUGAAAGAAACUCUUGAGCUCUCUGCAUUUUUAUCCUUAGAAAAAUUAAUUCUAAAUGGGUGCUAUAUGCUUACGAAACUUUCCGACUCGAUCGGAAUGCUGAAAUAUUUAGCUGAGUUGGAUGUCUCACACACAAGUAUUGUGGAGUUACCAAAUAGCAUCGUCAAUCUGAAGAACUUGAAAGUGUUGAAGAUUGACUACAGCUGCAUUCAAAAGUUACCUGAUGCCAUUGGGACGAUGGAGAAACUUGAGGAAAUUUAUGGAGCGGGUUGCCAGCAGCUGAAAGUGAUUCUUAGUGAUAUUGUGGAACUACCAUCCUUGCGGAUUUUGAAAUUAACAGAAACUCGUGUGGAGAAUGUACCCAAGCUUCCAGAGAGUUUGGUAAGUCUAUAUCUAUCCUCACAUGUUUCAAAAAAAGAUUUGGAGAUCUCCAAUUUAGCGAGUCUCAAAAUUCUGAAAUUAUGUUUUCCCAUAACAUUUUAGAUGUUACCAUUUAUAAGAGUCGUGUUAGUUAUAUUCUGUCUUUUAAUUAUUCGAUGCGGGGGUAAUUUAACAAUAGAUCCAUUUUCUUUUAUUUGUUGUUGGGGACAACUUUGAAAGAAGUGUGACGAAGAGUGAUUUUGACUUAAGUUAGGAAUGCAUAUCCAAAGUAUUUAUAAAGUUACUUUUAUGGAGUACUUGCUCAGUCGAUAUAUUUGGUUAUGUUUUGUAAAACUAAUAUAAAUUAAACUCGUUAGAUAUACAUAAUCAUUUGACAGGUGGCUACAAGAUUGAAGGUUCUUGAUCUGUCGUUCUGCGAAAUGUUGAAAGAAACUCUUGAGUUCUCUGCAUUUUUAUCCUUAGAAAAAUUAAUUCUAAAUGGGUGCUAUAUGCUUACGAAACUUUCCGACUCGAUCGGAAUGCUGAAAUAUUUAGCUGAGUUGGAUGUCUCAUACACAAGCAUUAUGGAGUUACCAAAUAGCAUCGUCAAUCUAAAGAGCUUGAAAGUGUUGAAGAUUGACUACAGUUGCAUUCAAAAGUUACCUGAUGCCAUUGGGACGAUGGAGAAACUUGAGGAAAUUUAUGGAGUGGGUUGCCAGCAGCUGAAAGUGAUUCUUAGUGAUAUUGUGGAACUACCAUCCUUGCGGAUUUUGAAAUUACCAAAAACUCGUGUGGAGAAUGUACCCAAGCUUCCAGAGAGUUUGGUAAGUCUAUAUCUAUCCUCACAUGUUUCAAAAAAGAUUUGGAGAUCUCCAAUUUAGCGAGUCUAAAAAAUAUGAAAUUAUGUUUUCCCAUAACAUUUUAGAUGUUACCAUUUAUAAGAGUCGUGUUAGUUAUAUUCUGUCUUUUAAUUAUUCGAUGCGGGGGUAAUUUAACAAUAGAUCCAUUUUCUUUUAUUUGUUGUUGGGGACAACUUUGAAAGAAGUGUGACGAAGAGUGAUUUUGACUUAAGUUAGGAAUGCAUAUCCAAAGUAUUUAUAAAGUUACUUUUAUGGAGUACUUGCUCAGUCGAUAUAUUUGGUUAUGUUUUGUAAAACUAAUAUAAAUUAAACUCGUUAGAUAUACAUAAUCAUUUGACAGGUGGCUACAAGAUUGAAGGUCCUUGAUUUGUCGUGCUGUGAAAUGUUGAAAGAAACUCUUGAGCUCUCUGCAUUUUUAUCCUUAGAAAAAUUAAUUCUGAAGGGGUGCAAAAUGCUUACGAAACUUUCCGACUCGAUCGGAAUGCUGAAAUAUUUAGCUAAGUUGGAUGUCUCACACACAAGUAUUGUGGAGUUACCAAAUAGCAUCGUCAAUCUAAAGAACUUAGAAGUGUUGAAGAUUGACUACAGCUGCAUUCAAAAGUUACCUGAUGCCAUUGGGAUGAUGGAGAAGCUUGAGGAAAUUUAUGGAAAGGGUUGUCGGCAGCUGGAAGUGAUUCUUAGUGAUAUUGUGGAACUACCAUCCUUGCGGAUUUUGAAAUUAACAGAAACUCGUGUGGAGAAUGUAUCCAAGUUUCCAAAGAGUUUGGCAAGUCUAUGUCUAUUCUCACAUGUUUCAAAAAAAGAUUCGGAGAUCUCCAAUUUAGCGAGUCUAAAAAUUCUGAAAUUAUGUUUUCCCAUAACAGUUUAGAUGUUACCAUUUAUAAGAGUUGUGUUAGUUAUAUUCUGUCUUUUAAUUAUUCGAUGCGGGGGUAAUUUAAGAAUAAAUCCAUUUUCUUUUAUUUGUUGUUGGGGACAACUUUGAAAGAAGUGUGACGAAGAGUGGUUUUGACUUAAGUUAGGAAUGCAUAUACAAAGUAUUUAUAAAGUUACUUUUAUGGAGUACUUGCUCAGUCGAUAUAUUUGGUUAUGUUCUAUAAAACUAAUAUAAAUUAAACUCAUUAGAUAUACAUAAUCAUUUGACAGGUGGCUACAAGAUUGAAGGUUCUUGAUCUGUCGUGCUGCGAAAUGUUGAAAGAAACUCUCGAGCUCUCUGCAUUUUUAUCCUUAGAAAAAUUAAUUCUAAAGGGAUGCAAAAUGCUUACGAAACUUUCCGACUCGAUCGGAAUGCUGAAAUAUUUAGCUGAGUUGGAUGUCUCACACACAAGCAUUGUGGAGUUACCAAAUAGCAUCGUCAAUUUAAAGAGCUUGAAAGUGUUGAAGAUUGAUCACAGUUGCAUUCAAAAGUUACCCGAUGCCAUUGGGAUGAUGGAGAAAUUUGAGGAAAUUCAUGGAGUAGGUUGCUUGCAGCCAGAAGUGAUUCCUAGUGAUAUUGUGGAACUACCAUCCUUGCGGAUUUUGAAAUUAACAAAAACUCGUGUGGAGAAUGUAUCAAAACUUCCAAAGAGUUUGGUAAGUCUAUGUCUAUCCUUACAUGUUUUAGAAAAAGAUUCGGAGAUCUCCAAUUUCGCAAGUCUAAAAAUUCUGAAAUUAUGUUUUCCCAUAACAUUUUAGAUGUCACCAUUUAUAAGAGUCGUGUUAGUUAUAUUCUGUCUUUUAAUUAUUCGAUGUGGGGGUAAUUUAAGAAUAAAUCCAUUUUCUUUUAUUUGUUGUUGGGGACAACUUUGAAAGAAGUGUGACGAAGAGUGGUUUUGGCUUAAGUUAGGAAUGCAUAUACAUAGUAUUUAUAAAGUUGCUUUUAUGGAGUACUUGCUCAGUCGAUAUAUUUGGUUAUGUUUUGUAAAACUAAUAUAAAUUAAACUCAUUGGAUAUACAUAAUCAUUUGGCAGUAGCUACAAGAUUGAAAGGUCCUUAAUCUGUCGUACCACAGAAUGUUAAAAGAAACUCCUGAGCUCUCUGCGGUUUUAUCCCUAGAAAAUUAAUUUUAACGGGGUGUGAAAUGCUUACGAAACUUUCUGACUCGAUGGGAAUGCUGAAAUAUUUAGUUGAGUUGGAUAUCUCAUGCACAAGCAUUGUAGAGUUGCCAAAUAGUAUUGUCAAUCUAAAGAGCUUAAAAGUGUUGAAGAUUAACGAUAGUGACAUGCAAAAGUUACCUAACGCCAUUGGAAUGAUGGAGAAACUUGAGGAAAUUUAUGGAGAGGGUUGCCGGCAGCUAGAAGUGAUUCCUAGUGAUAUUGUGGGACUACCAUCCUUGCAGAUUUUGAAAUUUACAGAAACUCGUGUGGAGAAUGUACCCAAGCUUCCAGAGAGUUUGGUAAGUCUAUGUCUGUCCUCAACAGUCUCGGAAAAAGAUCCGGAGAUCUCCAACUUAGUGAAUUUAAGAAAUCUGGAAUUAUGUUUUCCCCUUACAUACCCCAUCUAUCCCAAGAUUCCAAAAAGUUACAUGUCCAGCCCAUAUUGUAAGUUAGAACUUUCAAUUAUCACCGGCAGAAGCUCAUAUUUGGGUUGCUUUCGCUGUCUAAAAGAACUUGAACUUGAGAAUUGCGACAACCUGCGUUGUGUUGGACAGCUGCCCUCUGAUUUGAGGAUAUUUACAGUUACCAAUUGCAGAUUUCUUGAAGUUGUGGACCUUUCCAACUUAUCUAACUUCAAGAAUCUCGAGGACCUCAAAGUAUGGGACUGUUCGAGACUGGUUGAAAUUCGAGGUCUUGACAGACUGGAAUCAUUGAGAAGUCUUUACAUCGAAUGCUGCAGUCCGUCACUACGCUUACCUGAUCUAUCCACCUGGAAGGAGCUGACAGAGUGGGAUGUUGAUGCUCUUGUGACAAAUUUGGCGAGAGGAAAACAAGUAGCUCGAAGUGAUGAUCUCCCACUCUAGUACUUGAAAAAACUUGUAGGAUUGGCAAAUCCUUAUUAUGUUG